UACGUAGGGGGCAAGUGUUGUCCGGAAUCAUUGGGCGUAAAGAGCGCGUAGGCGGUCCGGUAAGUCCGCUCUGAAAGUCCGGGGCUCAACCCCGGGAGGCGGGCGGAUACUGUCGGGCUAGAGUCCGGAAGAGGCGAGUGGAAUUCCUGGUGUAGCGGUGAAAUGCGCAGAUAUCAGGAGGAACACCGAUGGCGAAGGCAGCUCGCUGGGACGGUACUGACGCUGAGGCGCGAAAGCGUGGGGAGCAAACAGG
rnacentral:rRNA from 1 species